CCUACGGGUGGCAGCAGUGAGGAAUAUUGGUCAAUGGGCGGAAGCCUGAACCAGCCAAGUAGCGUGCGGGAUGAAUGCCCUACGGGUUGUCAACCGCUUUUGCACGGGGAUAACACCCUCCACUUGUGGAGGUCUGCAGGUACCGUGCGACUAAGGGCCGGCUAAUUCCGUUGCCGCAGCCGCGGUAAUACGGAAGGCCCGAGAGUUAUCCGGAUUCAUUGGGCUUAAAGGGAGCGUAGGCGGGCGUUCAAGUCAGCUGUAAAAGCGCGCGGCUCAACCGCGCUCCGCAGUUGAAACUGGACGCCUUGAGUGCACAACAGGCAGGCGGAAUUCGUGGUGUAGCGGUGAAAUGCAGAGAUAUCACGAAGAACCCAGAUUGCGAAGGCAGCCUGCCGGGGUGCGACUGACGCUGAGGCUCGAAGGUGCGGGUAUCAAACAGGAUUAGAUACCCGUGUAGUC
rnacentral:rRNA from 1 species